AACGAACGCUGGCGGCAUGCCUAACACAUGCAAGUCGAACGAGACCUUCGGGUCUAGUGGCGCACGUGUGCGUAACGCGUGGGAACCUGCCCUUAGGUUCGGAAUAACUCCCCGAAAGGGGUGCUAAUACCGGAUAAUGUCUUCGGACCAAAGAUUUAUCGCCUUUGGGUGGGCCCGCGUUGGAUUAGCUAGUUGGUAGGGUAAAAGCCUACCAAGGCGACGAUCCAUAGCUGGUCUGAGAGGAUGAUCAGCCACACUGGGACUGAGACACGGCCCAGACUCCUACGGGAGGCAGCAGUGGGGAAUAUUGGACAAUGGGCGAAAGCCUGAUCCAGCAAUGCCGCGUGAGUGAUGAAGGCCUUAGGGUUGUAAAGCUCUUUUACCCGGGAUGAUAAUGACAGUACCGGGAGAAUAAGCUCCGGCUAACUCCGUG
rnacentral:rRNA from 1 species